ACAGUGUCUGUGGGUCAAGAAUUCAGAGUAGCGCAGCUGAGUGGCCAUGGCUCAGAGUCCCUCAGGAGUUUGCAGUCAAGGCCUUAGAUGGAGCUGCAAUCAUCUGAAGGUGUGACUCGAGAUGGAGGGCCUGCUUCCAGUGCAGAUGGAGUGGCUCACUGACAUGGCUGAAUCCGGCCAACUUCCCAGCACAUAGUAGGUUCUUAGUAAAUGUUUAGUGAGCACACGAACAAUGAAUAAUAUGUGACUCUGAGCAGUAAGGGGAGCCAAAGUCCUCGACAGUUAUCAACAGAUCAUAUUGAAUGGAGUGGACCUGAAGAAGACAAACUCAGUUCUCAGGAGGGAGUUACUGCAGGGCACCAACUGGAGUGAACUGGAUUGAAGAGCUUCAACUGUGCAGAUCAUGUUCCAGGCCAAGCUGACUCCAAUUCCCAAGGCUUCAGAACCUCUAGUGAAAACCUCCUCUGCACUCAGAGCUGGACCAGCCCCACAGAAUAUGUUUUAAGAACUCCUUAAAAAGAUACACAAAGUACAGAAUGAUUCAGCCGUUUGCCACAUGUCACCGUUCCAAGAGCUCACAGAGGUGGCCUCUGAUAAGCCUUUGCCAGCUUUUUAAGUAUGGAACCAGGUAAUAAUAUGAGUUCCCCCUCAGAGUUCUCAGGAGGCAUAACUAAUAAUAUUCUUGGUAAGCACUGUACAGACCAUAAAAGCCACAUGCAUCCAGCAAGGAUAUUCGAGAGCUUCAGAAAAUCACUUCAUG
rnacentral:lncRNA from 1 species